UACGGAGGGGGCAAGCGUUAUCCGGAAUCAUUGGGCGUAAAGCGCGUGUAGGCGGUUCCGUAAGUCCGCUCUGAAAGCCCAGGGCUCAACCCUGGGAGGCGGGUGGAUACUACGGAACUGGGAGUACGGAAGAGGAGAUUGGAAUUCCUGGUGUAGCGGUGAAAUGCGCAGAUAUCAGGAGGAACACCGAUGGCGAAGGCAGGUCUCUGGGCCACUACUGACGCUGAGAAGCGAAAGCAUGGGGAGCGAACAGG
rnacentral:rRNA from 1 species